rnacentral:lncRNA from 13 species
CUGAGCUUCUGGUCAGAGUCUAGGCAAGCCUAUGUUGAGAGGACAAAAUAGCCCUGAGGAGGCUGGCCAGCCAGGUGGGUGGGCAGAGGCAGGCUGAGAAUGCAGCAAGGGAGCUGAGGAAGAUCUGAGCAGGGAGACAUCAACAUCCAGAGCUGCUGCACACAGCCCUCCAUCAGGGGGGACGCUCACGCUCGCCUGGACCAUGAGCAAUGAGUCUACCGUCUGGAUCAACCUCACCGAGAACUCCACCGGGGUCCCAUUUGAGCCUGGUAAACAACAGGAUGGUUACAUCCUACUGCUGGUGCUCCUGUCCAUCUUCCUGGGGGGAACACUGGUCCUGCUGUCUGUCCUGCUGAUCAUCUGCAGACGUUGCUGUGAUGGAGACUGCCGCCAUGCCAGGUCAGACCACUAGUCCAGUGGUUCCCAACCAGGGGUACUUGGCCUAUCCACACGGGGUACUUGAGAAGACUCAUGAGACCAUAGGCUUAGUGGUAAAAUGCACAUGAGAGGGUACUCCGGGCAGAGUAAAAUUCCGUUGGUGGUACAGUAACCACGGCACUAGUAUGCAUGGUUUAGUGACUAUGCAUGUCUAUGAGUGAGAUGGAGACCAUUCAAAUCCUGUAUGCACACGUGUCCAUCCCUCUGACAUAAAGAGUGCAUGCAGAGAUGUAACAAUGCAUGUUGUAAGUAUGGUAAAGACUACAGUGCAUUCCUUUAUUAUUGAGUUCUAUUGUCUGUCUACAGACCAUUGUUGAUCUAACAUGGAAACAUCGUUAUAUUCAUUUGUAAGUUAUUUUUAAUCGUCUUCAUUUAGAAAUAGCACCUUUGUUGUUAUGUCUGAGAGAUACAGACUUCUAUUUGUAUAUGAUAUGUUUACUCCAUUUCCAUGCGCCCCUCUUUUCAGUACCCAGCAACAGAGUCAGGCAGUGGCAGGCUGCAGGCUGGCCGGGGUAGAGUAGUGCAGACUGGUACAAAUGAUGAGUGUAAUGAGAUUUCAUAGCAGCCAUCAAUGCUGAUUCAUUUUGCGUCUCACACUGUCAUAAGCUCUAGCUGCAGCACACACACACACACACACACACACACACACACACACAGAGAGAGAGAGGAAAUGAAAGCACAGCGCCGGGCAGCCAGAGAAAUCCCUCAAGUCAUUCUCACACAGAUAUUAUGAACUGGGUGGUUUGAGCCCUGAAUGCUGAUUGGAUAUCAGAUCUUAAACCACAGGUAUGACAAAACAUGUAUUUGUACUACUCUAAUUACGUUGGUAACCAGUUUAUAAUAGCAAUAAGUCAUCUGUGUUGCGUCGUACCUAAGAACAGCCCUUAGCCGUAGUAUAUUGGCCAUAUACCACACGCCCUCGUGCCUUUUUACUGAAAUAUCAAAUCAAAUUUGAUUUGUCACAUACACAUGGUUAGCAGAUGUUAAUGUGAGUGUAAUGAAAUGCUUGUGCUUCUAGUUCCGACCAUGCAGUAAUAUCUAACAAGUAAUCUAACCUAACAAUUUCACUACCUCACUACACACAAGUGUAAAAGAAUGAAUAAGAAUAUGUACAUAAAAAUAUAUGAAUGAGCGUUGGCCGAACGGCACAGGCAAGAUGCAGUAGAUGCUAUAAAGUACAGUAUAUACAUAUGGGAUGAGUAAUGUAGGGUAUGUAAACAUUAUAUAAAGUGGCAUUGUUUAAAGUGGCUAGUGAUACAUUUAUUACAUAAAUGUUUUAAUUAUUAAAGUGGCUAGAGAUGAGUCAGUAUG